UUUUCAAAUUACUGUUGUUCAAAUAAUAAAAACAACUCGCUGGAUGUCAAGUCUUACUCUUGUCAAAGAAAAAUAGACACUAGUGUUAUAGUCAAUUGCUCAAUAUUAUUUUUUUUUAUUACUUUACACGUCUCCCCACUUUUUUUUUUAUUAUUAUAACUGAUGUUUCAACUUGUUAACGAAUAAACCAAAUGAUAAUAAUUUAAUGAGCGUUUAAAUUUCAUAUCUUAACGAUUAAUGAUAACUUGGUAUUGUUUUAGUGAUAAAGACUGUGAUUUUAUAAAUUUAAAAAAAUACAAUUUAUAUGAGCAAUGAAAACAACGGCGGCUUUAGUAUCGUAAAUUAAUAACAAGUACUUGUUGUUCUUGAAGGAAGCCACUUUAAAUCAGAGAUUAUGUAUGACACAAAAAAUAAUAUCAGAAUACGUUCGUAAACAUAAAAAUUUAACCGGUAGGAUUUCUACGUACGGACGUCGCCGAUCGAGAGAACGCAAAUCAAUGCGCAAUCCAACAAUUAACUUUAUUAAAUGUAUGACGUAGAGAGGAAAUAUACAUAUAUAUAAGCAAUAAAAAUAUUUUAUUGAGGAAAAAUACAUACCGGUUAGUAAAUGUUGCAAUUCCACCGUGGCGGCAUUGAAAAAUAAGGUUUAAGAUAAAAAAAUAAUUAUAUAAUAAAAAGGCAGAAGCUCGUUGAGAAUGCCAUAAGCCGAGUAACCUCGUUCAUCAGCGCAGAAUAAUUGUAACUGAUGAGAAAAAAAAAAUAAUAAAAGUAAAUAAAUAAAAUUUAACAGAGCCUAGAGCAUAAGGGCAUUUCAUAAAUAAUAAAAAAAGGCU